AAUGAACGCUGGCGGCAGGCCUAACACAUGCAAGUCGAACGGGUCCUUCGGGACUAGUGGCGGACGGGUGAGUAACGCGUGGGAACAUGCCCUUUGGUACGGAAUAGCCUCGGGAAACUGGGAGUAAUACCGUAUGUGGUCGAGAGACGAAAGAUUUAUCGCCAAAGGAUUGGCCCGCGUUGGAUUAGGUAGUUGGUGGGGUAAUGGCCUACCAAGCCGACGAUCCAUAGCUGGUUUGAGAGGAUGAUCAGCCACACUGGGACUGAGACACGGCCCAGACUCCUACGGGAAGCAGCAGUGGGGAAUCUUAGACAAUGGGGGAAACCCUGAUCUAGCCAUGCCGCGUGAUCGAUGAAGGCCUUAGGGUUGUAAAGAUCUUUCAGGUGGGAAGAUAAUGACUGUACCACCAGAAGAAGCCCCGGCUAACUCCGUGCCAGCAGCCGCGGUAAAAC
rnacentral:rRNA from 1 species